GAAAGCUGAAAGGGAAACUGCAGAGGAAUUGAUUCAUUCCGAAACAAACUACAACACUAGGUUUGGUUUUGAAACUCAAAAGCCAGGAAAUUUAAUAAGAUUUCCUGCAGCUUUUGCGUUUUGUGUUACAAGAUACCACCGAGAAGUUAACAUCACCAAAAACCUGAGAAAUUUCAGAAGCAGCAUAUGGGUAAUAGGUGACAAAGUUAAGACUUUAUAGUGAUAAGGAGAAGAAAAUAAUAUCCAACAGAUAAAAUCCAUUUCACGACAGCUGUUCUUGAAUGCCUUAGCAAUUUGCUAAGCCAAAUACAUGAGAAUUGACAUAAAUGUUUGAAAUAGAGACCAAACAUUUGGCCAAAGGUGUCUGCAACUUGAGACAAAUUAGAUAAAAUACUUUAGUCCCGCUGUUAGUUUGGCAGAAAAACAAGCCACAAUGGCACUGUCCACUACUUCCGUGCAAGUGGAACAGCAACUUGACC